UCCCUCGGACCAUUUGGGAAGCGGAGACAGAGAGCGUACGACGUUUGACACGGCCCGUAGGGUGGUGAUUCUGCCUGCCAUAGUACCGCCUGCGGAACUCCAUUGACCAACCGUGCUUCAAACCCUCCUUUCUAAAUCUCUCUCGUAUUCCCAGACCCAAGAACGCACGGCACAACCAAAAUUCAAAGUCCUCCCUUCGCUCUCUGGUCUCUACCAAGACUUCCAUUCCGCUGCCCGCCUUCUCUCGUUUAAAUUUCAAGAAAAGAUGACAUCUUUCCCGACAAGCUCACCACCCCACUUCUUGAAAUCGCCUCAACAUAUAUACGGUUCCAUCUUCUCGUGCAUACACAAGCGCCGUAAAGAGCUUGCACCAAGAUUUGAGAGGCCCAGAAAAGGAAAAAGAAAAGAAGGGUAAAGAAAUUUUGCACAAAGUUGCUGCUGAAGCAGCGAGUGUGUGAAGCGGCGUCACGAAGAUGACUAAGAUUUUCGUGCAUUUGCUGCUUCUUGUCGCCUUCUCGGCCAAUGCAGCUCUGGGAGCCACAAUCGUCAAGACUUUGCCCGGUUUUGAUGGUGAACUUCCCUUUAUGCUCGAAACUGGGUACAUCUCUGUUGAGGAUGCCGAGAUGUUCUACUACUUCAUUGAGACAGAGGGAAACCCUAAAGAAGACCCUCUUUUGCUCUGGUACAGUGGAGGCCCUGGUUGCUCUGCAUUUAAUGGCCUCAUCUUUGAAAA